rnacentral:rRNA from 1 species
CGUAUAUGUCGUUGUUUUUCUUUUGGAAUACAUACUACAACUUUCGACAACGGAUCUCUUGGCUCCCGCAUCGAUGAAGAACGCAGCGAAAUGCGAUAAGUAAUGUGAAUUGCAGAAUUCAGUGAAUCAUCGAAUCUUUGAACGCAUCUUGCGCUCCUUGGCAUUCCGAGGAAGCACGCCUGUCUGAGUGUCAUUAAAAUUCCUCAAAUCCACUACUCACCUGCUUGGGGGGGUAGGAACCGGGUCUGGAUCGGUUGGAGGCCUUGUUGCGGGCCGCUUCUCUUUGAAUGAAGCCUGCUCCUCUGAAAUGCAUUGUUAGCGAGGGCUGUGAUCGUGCAUUGUCUGUCG